CUAAGAAAAGGCUUAGGAGAGCUCUGUUUAGGAAGCUCUAGAGGAGGGGAGUCUGAAUUAGGUAAAAGCCCCCCAUGGAGGAAGGACUGCAGACUUCCCCAUGUGGUGGGGAAGAAGCCUGGGGCCUUAUAGCAGAAGAAGCUGGGGCUAAAUCUGGAGACUUUUAUCUGCUCUAUGAGACACUUAGAAACAAAACAUGAACAACACAAGGGCAAACAAGAAUUUUUCAAGCAGAUGUGAGCACAGCUAAUGAACCCAGGGUGCAAGACUUGUCAAUAAAAGAUCAAGAGAAUCUCCUGGACAUCUCAACUGAUGGCAGAGUCAAGACUGAGUUCCAACAAAAGCAGUUGGCCAAGUUUUGGAUCUAAAUGAAAUCAGAGUUCCCCAAAUUGUCUGACAGGGCUGUCAAGGUUUGGAUGCCGUUUGAUAUAAUUUGUUUGUGAAAGUGGAUUUUCAUCACUCAUAGGAAUGAAAUAAAAAUACACGUCAUCACCUUUGUGUAGAAAACAACUUAUUACAAACUACCAUGUCACUCCAAACAUUAUGCACCUGUGCUCAAAAAACAACCUCAUCCUUCAGAUUACUGGUGAGUGGUACUAGGAAGUCAUUAAAGUUGGUCAAAAGUAAGCAUACAUUAAAACUAAACCCAUAAAUUAUGUAUUAUUAUUAUAGUCCUAUAUAUUGUGUUUGUGUAUUCUUUGUACAUUUUGUACAAUACUUGGGCAUUAAAAGGGUUAAAAUAUAAAACUUGUAUUCUGGAAGGGGGUAUGCAAUAAGAGAAGUUUGAGAUGGUCUAAAUUAGAGGUUCCUGACAAAUGUUUGUCUAACCUGAUCUUAAAAACCUCCAAUGACUGAGAUCCCACAACCGUCCUAGGCAAUUUAAGGGAUGUGUAACUCCCUUUGAUUUCUCUUAUCAUCGACUUUGUAUACAGCACCAUGUUGACCUAAGUUUCACUACUCCAGUUAUGUGAAUAAUGUAACUGGAGUUGACAUAGCUUAGGUCAACUUAUCACAGUGUCUUCACUGUGCUGUCUCCCAUCGACUUACCUUGCUCUUCUUGGGGAGCUGGAGUACCAGAGUCAACCUGAGAGCACUCUACUGUCGAUUUUAGCAGGUCUUCACUAGAUCCGCUAAAUUGACACCUGCUGCAUCAAUGCUGCUGCAAUUGAUCUCUCCUGACAAUCCCAUCAUGUUGCAGUCAAAUGUGAUGGUGGAGUCAAUGCAGUUUAGGCAUGAAUUUAGGCAUCGAAGCAAUUAUGUAUAUGCUCAGACAUAUAAGUAUGUAUGUAGGCUCACAUAUUUGACUUUUGGGCCUUUAAUUACCAUGUAUAUACAUGCAUUUCAUUUGUUCAGAGUAUGAAUUGUAUUCCUGCCUGUUUUGUACAUAACACUUUAUUUUUCAUUUGUGCCUUAUCUGCUGUAUGUUAAUAUUCAAAUGUGCUUAUCUGUUGAUGCACACUACCCUUCAUUCAUUCAUGGUCCUCAAUUAUUGUAACAGGUGAGCAAUCAGCCUAAAAAAGAUCUGUCAUAUUGCUCUCUUGUAACUGUGAACUAAAAACGGUUCAGGAACAUUGCUAAUCUGCCUUGGGUUUCUUCUGUAAAUGAAAAGAGCUGUUAAUGGCACCUUUUUAAAUUAAAAUAACGCAUUCAGUUAACCACCAUCUUCAUCUGUGCAAGUUUGUACUUGGAGAAGAUGGGCAUGACAACAGACUUUUAUG